rnacentral:rRNA from 1 species
UACGUAGGGUGCAAGCGUUGUCCGGAAUUAUUGGGCGUAAAGGGCGCGUAGGCGGCUCUGCACGUCCGUUGUGAAAUCGCCCGGCUCAACUGGGCGGGGUCAGCGGAUACGGCAGAGCUUGAGCAAGCUAGGGGGCAAUGGAAUUCCCGGUGUAGUGGUGGAAUGCGUAGAUAUCGGGAGGAACACCAGUGGCGAAGGCGGUUGCCUGGGGCUUUGCUGACGCUGAUGCGCGAAAGCGUGGGGAGCGAUCCGG